UACGAAGGGGGCUAGCGUUGCUCGGAAUUACUGGGCGUAAAGGGAGCGUAGGCGGAUAGUUAAGUCAGAGGUGAAAGCCCAGGGCUCAACCUUGGAAUUGCCUUUGAUACUGGCUAUCUUGAGUAUGGGAGAGGUAAGCGGAACUCCGAGUGUAGAGGUGAAAUUCGUAGAUAUUCGGAAGAACACCAGUGGCGAAGGCGCUUACUGGCCCAUUACUGACGCUGAGGCUCGGAAAGCGUGGGGAAGCAAACAGGG
rnacentral:rRNA from 1 species